GAUGAACGCUGGCGGCGUGCCUAAUACAUGCAAGUCGAGCGAACGGACGAGAAGCUUGCUUCUCUGAUGUUAGCGGCGGACGGGUGAGUAACACGUGGAUAACCUACCUAUAAGACUGGGAUAACUUCGGGAAACCGGAGCUAAUACCGGAUAAUAUUUUGAACCGCAUGGUUCAAAAGUAAAAGACGGUCUUGCUGUCACUUAUAGAUGGAUCCGCGCUGCAUUAGCUAGUUGGUAAGGUAACGGCUUACCAAGGCAACGAUGCAUAGCCGACCUGAGAGGGUGAUCGGCCACACUGGAACUGAGACGCGGUCCAGACUCCUACGGGAGGCAGCAGUAGGGAAUCUUCCGCAAUGGGCGAAAGCCUGACGGAGCAACGCCGCGUGAGUGAUGAUGGUCUUCGGAUCGUAAAACUCUGUUAUUAGGGAAGAACAUAUGUGUAAGUAACUGUGCACAUCUUGACGGUACCUAAUCAGAAAGCCACGGCUAACUACGUG
rnacentral:rRNA from 1 species